GUCACUCCUUGACUUGCCUCCCAUCAAUCAACACCGGCAGCAAAUGCAAGAAGGGAACAAGCUUACAUAAAUGCAUUCAAAUGAAAAUAAAACACUUUUUAUAUUCAACAAAUGCUACCACCGUACUGCAAUGAUAGUUUCAAGAAAAAAAAUUAGUUUAACACAAAAUAAAAAGGUAAGGGAAAUGUGCUUUCUUCAUUUCAUCAGAAAAACCGUGAGCCCUUCCAAAAGCUAUCCAAGAAAAUGUUCAAAAUAAAAAAGAAUAAAAGCAUUGGAGUCCCUCUGCCACGUUCUAGCAAAACGAAAAUAAUGAAAAAAAAAAAAAUCCUCUCAAGCAAAUGAUGGCUGCACCUUGUAAUCCAUUCAACCAAAAUCCAAAAUUAGCUCCAUGGGAAAAGAAAAUGUUCAAAGCCUAGUGGUGCCCUNCAAAAUCUGCCGAGAAUGAAUUUCUUCAAAAUGACGACUCCUCCUUUUUGUGAUCCCUAGGACCAUGUNUCCUAAAAUGAGGUGGGGUCCACCCUAAAAAUAAAAAGAAACCCUAGGACAAGUGUCCUACAAUUUUGGG
rnacentral:lncRNA from 1 species